GAUCAUGGCUCAGGACGAACGCUGGCGGCGCGCCUAACACAUGCAAGUCGAACGGAGUUAUUUUGACAGAAGCCUUCGGGCAGACGUUGAUAUAACUUAGUGGCGAACGGGUGAGUAACACGUGAGCAACCUGCCCUUCAGAGGGGGACAACAGUUGGAAACGACUGCUAAUACCGCAUAAGACCACGGUGUGGCAUCACACAGAGGUCAAAGGAGAAAUCCGCUGAAGGAUGGGCUCGCG
rnacentral:rRNA from 1 species